UUCUUAAUAAGCAUGUGUAGUCGUUUGGUUCUGUUCUUUCUCUCUCUGGAUCAAAGUAGUAAACUUUUGCUUCGGAUUUAAGUUUAACCCAUCUCUCACCUUCCCUUGCAAUCAAAUCUCCAACCAAAUUAAUCUCUCUGGGCAAUUCUCACUCUUAUUCUCCGACAGAGAACAGUCUCGACCUUCGUCUUAAGUUGAGCCUAGGUCGAUAGGGCUUCUCACGCUGAUGAUUCUUCUUCUUGUUCAUCGUCAUCACCUUCUGCUUUUGUGGCUUUUGUGUGAUCUAAUAUAUCUAUCGUGGCUUCAUCUCUCCUAUUUUUAAGCAAAUAAGUAACCUUCCAUCUUCUCUUUCUUACUCCAUCUAUUGUAGUCUGAUCUGUUGAUUGUGUAGUUCUGUAGUUCUGUUCUGCUUUGGUGUUUAAUUCCUCUUUGCAAGCAAGUAAUAUUCUAUUGGAAACUUGAGAGUUUGGGUUUGUAAAGUUCUUGCGAUCGUCAUUGUUACUUUAAUUUUCUAAUUACUCUGUCAAAGGUCAGAACUUUGCUUCAACCCUUUAAGCGACCACUAUUCUGUGAGUUUAGACUUUUAAAUGUUACUAGACUUCUGUACUUAUACUUCCUGUAUUCAAAUGUACAAGCGAGAUAUGAUGCUUGUCUUUUGAUAUGGACCGUGCAGGAGUAUGAUGUCGAGGAUUCAAUACCGCUGGUCCAGCCAUCCCUAUGUUACACUGCACCUGAAUUUGUGCGCAGCAAAAGUCCUUCAGCUGGAGCUUCGUCAGACAGUUUCAGUUUUGGAUGCAUUGCCUAUCAUUUGGUUGCUAGGAAACCAUUGUUGGAUUGCAAUAACAAUGUCAAGAUGGAUAGGAAUGACUUUGAGUUGACAACACUGCCCGCUCUUGUUCCUCUUCUGAGUACUGAAAGCUUUGAAAGCUUCCAUAUUGAUGUUAGACUGGCUUCUCUAUGUUUCCGAAUACCAGUUCUAAAUAUGCAUUGAAAUCACUUUUCUUUUUGUUUUCUAUUGCAUACAGGGUAAGAUCCUUGCUUGACUUAUAUUUUUAUGUAAUUUUUCAGACUGAUAGCGAGCAUCUUGUAUCGCAUGUUCUCCCUUUGCUUCUCCGAGCCUACAAUGAUAACGAUGUCCGCAUACAGGAGGAAGUUCUUAAAAGAUCAACAUCUGUCGCUAAGCAACUCGAUGGUCAGGUUGUGAAGAUUCAUAAUAGAGAUCACAGUGGAGGAAAAGAUUCUGAAGCUUCAAAAGAAGAAGGAACUUGUGUUUGAAGGGACCGUUGGUGGUUCUCAGGAGGCUAUAGGAAAGUUGACAGCGGAAGAUAUGUCUUGUACUCGCUUGUGUUGUUGUAAUGAAGUGUCACGGACUUUGUAUGUUUUUGUAACUACUAGUAUUCACAUGUCUUAGAAACUUGUAUAAAUGAAACUAGUAUUCACAAGUUCUCAAGUUACUUCUUCCUUCUCAA